rnacentral:snoRNA from 1 species
UAUAACAUAUGUAAAGAAACUGUUAAACGUGAGCGUUACUGCACUGGAUCCCAAAGGCUGGGGUGAAAUGUUUUCUUAAUGUCCAGUGCCCACUGUCUUAAGAUUUGGUCAAUAUAA